GACGAACGCUGGCGGCGUGCUUAACACAUGCAAGUCGAACGAGACGAUUUAGAAGCUUGCUUUUAUUGAGUCGAGUGGCAAACGGGUGAGUAACGCGUAGACAACCUGCCGCAAAGAUGGGGGACAACAGUCCGAAAGGACUGCUAAUACCGGAUGUUGUAUCUCCUCCGCAUGGAAGAGAUAUUAAAGAUGGCCUCUACUUGUAAGCUAUCGCUUUGCGAUGGGUCUGCGUCUGAUUAGCUAGUUGGUGGUGUAAUGGACUACCAAGGCGACGAUCAGUAGCUGGUUUGAGAGGAUGAUCAGCCACAAUGGGACUGAGACACGGCCCAUACUCCUACGGGAGGCAGCAGUAGGGAAUUUUGCGCAAUGGGCGAAAGCCUGACGCAGCAACACCGCGUGAAUGUUAAGCCCUUCGGGGUGUAAA
rnacentral:rRNA from 1 species